CUUAACACAUGACAAGUCGAACGGCAGCAUGGUCUAGCUUGCUAGACUGAUGGCGAGUGGCGAACGGGUGAGUAACGCGUAGGAAUAUGCCUUAAAGUUUGGGAUAACUUGGGGAAACUCAAGCUAAUACCGGAUACUGUCUUAGGACAAAAGCUGGGGACCUUCGGGCCUGGCGCUUUAAGAUUAGCCUGCGUCCGAUUAGCUAGUUGGUGGGGUAAGGGCCUACCAAGGCGACGAUCGGUAGCUGGUCUGAGAGGAUGACCAGCCACACUGGAACUGAGACACGGUCCAGACUCCUACGGGAGGCAGCAGUGGGGAAUAUUGGACAAUGGGGCAACCCUGAUCCAGCAAUGCCGCGUGUGUGAAGAAGGCCUGAGGGUUGUAAAGCACUUUCAGUGGGGAGGAGGUUACUUAGGUUAAGAGCUAGAGUAAUGGACGUUACCCACAGAAGAAGCACCGGCUAACUCCGUG
rnacentral:rRNA from 1 species